AUGGCGACGGGUGGAGCACCAUUUGACGUGCUAUCGUCACUGGACCCCGAGACCUUCGCCGGGGAGUCGCGCGCCGUGAUCAACUUCCUCGCCGAGUACUACCGUGACGUCGAGACGUAUCCGGUCCAGCCCCAGUCCUUGCCAGGGUGCCUCCGUGCGCUUCUACCCGACGCGCCGCCCGAGAACGGCGAGCCCAUCGACGUGAUACUGGAGGAGAUGGCCAGGUGGUUCGAGCAGGAGCUGAAGGCCGACGGGCGGUUCGAGGUGGUAGCGCCGACGAGGUUCUCCCUCGUGACCUUCCGCCUCCGUCCAGGGCACGACGGCGACGGUGAUGGCUUGAACCGUAGGCUCCUCGUGGCGGUGAACGCUAGCGGGAGGGCGUUCAUGACGCACUUCGUGGUGGACGGCAAGUUUGUUAUCCGUAUGGCUGUGGGCGGAGCCAUGACGGAGAUGCAGCACGUCCAAGACACGUGGGAGCUUGUCCGGGAGAAGGCCGAGGAGGUCGGCGCCCUCCCUUAG
rnacentral:rRNA from 1 species